rnacentral:rRNA from 1 species
UGACCUCAAAUCAGGUAGGACUACCCGCUGAACUUAAGCAUUUCUCCCAAAUAGCGAGCCUCAGGAAGGAUGUUUUUAAUUCCCAAAGAG